AAAUUUCACUUUCUAGACAGUUCUAUUAUUGUUCCCAUCUUUCUGCUUUUGUUUUCGUUUGAAACUGUUGUUUGACGUUUACAUAAAGUUGGAUUCCUUGCAAUUGUGUUUAUAUCUUCCUGUUCUUGAAUUGGUGAUGAUCAGAAUUAAGGAUUCUAUAGCGUUUUGAUUGUUUUGAAUAUUGAACUUGUCCAUGAGGAAGGCCUUAGUCUACUCAUGGCUAUACAUUGUCUCCUAAAUUGUUGCAAGAAUAUGGGCAACAUGCCCCUCUUUGUGUUCUUCAAAGACACAAGGAAUGUUUUCAGAGCUGAUGAGCUAGGCCUGGAAAUAGUACAUAUUGCUCUUCCUACGCUACUAGCGUUAGUAGCAGACCCUGCUGCUUCUCUAAUCGACACAGCAUUUGUUGGCCAUAUAGGUCCUGUGGAGCUUGCAGCUGUGGGAGUUUCUAUUGCUGUUUUCAAUCAAGUAUCAAAAAUAGCAAUAUUUCCACUAGUCAGUAUUACAACCUCUUUUGUUGCUGAAGAAGAUACUACAGAACCAUUAAGUACUCAAGAUGAACGACUGGAAAAUGCUACUUUCGUCAACAAGGAAAUGGAAGUACUCAAACCACUUGUUGACUCUACAUCAUCAUCCAUUACCAUUGAUAAUACAGAAAUGGUCAAACCUGAGCAUGUCAGAAGGCGUAUUCCAUCAGCGUCAUCAGCGUUGGUCAUUGGCAGCAUCCUGGGGGUUAUUCAAACUCUAUUCCUAAUUUUUGCUGCAAACCCCAUCCUAAAUUACAUGGGGGUAGAUUCUGGUUCUCCUAUGUUAAGACCAGCAAGACAAUACCUGACACUACGAUCACUUGGUGCUCCUGCAGUUCUUCUCUCUUUGGCAAUGCAAGGGGUUUUCCGUGGUUUUUAAGGAUACAAAAACUCCUUUAUAUGCUACAAUUGUGGGAGAUGCAGUAAACAUCAUUUUGGACCCAAUAUUAAUGUUUGCACUCCAUAUGGGCAUUAGUGGUGCAGCGAUAGCCCAUGUUUUCUCUCAGUAUUUAAUCUGUCUGAUACUGUUAUGGAGAUUAAACAGACAAGUCGACCUCCUAACCCCAGGCGUCAAAGAUCUACGGAUUGGCCAGUUUCUGAAAAAUGGGGGUAUGUUAUUGGUGAGAGUUAUAGCUGCAACAUUCUGUGUCACCCUUGCAGCAUCAUUAACUGCACGGCAGGGAUCGACAUCAAUGGCAGCAUUUCAAGUUUGCUUGCAGAUUUGGCUUGCGGCCUCUUUGCUUGCAGAUGGGUUAGCUGUGGCUGGACAAGCAAUCCUUGCAAGCGCAUUUGCGAGGAAGGAUCACAGCAAGGUUGUUGCCACAGCUUCACGUAUAUUGCAGAUGGCUUUGGUUCUAGGGAUAAUACUCGGAGUCAUGCUUACAGUUGUAUUGAAGUUUGCGUCAAGAUUAUUCACCAAAGAUAUCAAUGUUUUGCAGCUUAUAAGUUUAGGCAUUCCGUUUAUUGCAGUGACUCAGCCCGUUAAUGCUUUGGCUUUUGUCUUUGACGGAUUAAAUUAUGGAGCAUCAGAUUUUGCAUAUUCUGCCUACUCAAUGGUUGUGGUGGCUUUAGUGAGCAUAUUGUGCCUGUUUCUAUUAUCAUCAAGCCAUGGCUUUGUUGGUAUUUGGGUUGCUUUAACAAUCUUUAUGAGUUUGCGGACAGUGGUUGGAUUUUGGAGGAUAGGGACUGGAACAGGACCGUGGGGCUUUCUGAGGGAGUAGUUGGAGCCUAAAUGCAUUUGUCAAUUUAGCAGAUGGUACAUCCUACUGUACAUAGGUAACGACAAAGGGCAGCCACCUAUCAUUUCUUAUUCAAGUUGCUGAAAUGUAGCCUAUGUUUAUACUUCAUAAGGUUAGAAUGAAAGUAGGAACUCAGUUUUAUAGCCUAUAGUAACUACACAUAGAAAGCAGUGCCGAAUUUAGAUUAUUGAUCUUUAUGGUGGUUAUGUCCUUUUUUGAGUUCUUUGCUGCAAGUAGAACAACUUUUCCAAA